rnacentral:lncRNA from 1 species
AGAUGAUUCUAAAGCACAGCAAAGUUGAGACACUAAAUGCUGGGCGUGGGUACGAGCAAUGCUGCCAUCAUUUCAAUUGCGGGCUGGGCCAAAUCUUUGUGCUCAGCAAAGACCUUUUCACCAGGGGCGUGAAUAGAGCAGGUCUUGUUUGAAUGGCUGUAUGGAUUUUGCAUGAAUCACCCCUGUCCAACGCUGGAGACACCCUUUCCAGAAGAUCCUGAUUCCAGUCUGCAUCCAUCAACCAGUUGCAAGGCUCUUGGAAGCAUCUCUGGGCUUUUGAGCGAUUUCACUCGACCAGAAAACCCAGUGGCUGGACUGAGGAGCAGUCAUGAGACGGAAGCCACGGCAGAUGGAAGCUGGACAUUGCUUUGAUCAGAUGCUCAAGUGACAGGGGACGAGAGCUACCACCUCCAACUUUCCACAAGCUCUUGCUUGCAGUGCCCAUGUCAGGGCUGAGAUGCUUGCUUAAGCCUGACCUUUUAGCACAGUUAAAACUUUGAAAACAAACCUAUGCUUGAAGGAGAGAGGAAAUAAGGCUGUAUAAUCCUGACUUGGCCUUACCUGCCUGCCACAGCAGGGCCUUACCCGACUGCCGCCUCCGGCAUCCAACGCAAUCUGCCUUACUCUUUGGGCUUCUUGGUGAGUGUCUCCAGGAGACCAUGGCAUUCCUUCCUGGAGGAGAGAUUCCUGAGGCCCAGAGGUAUCUGGCUCCAGUUCACUUAAGCGAACAAGGCUCUAACGUUAGGCUUUGCCGUCUCUGAGACUACAAGAUUUCUGGAUGUCUCAUUUACUUUCUAUUAAUAGACAUGGGUCGUUAUGGUUUAUGUAUACACUUAUGUGUCAGAAUUCAACCAUUCAUAGCCAUAUCAUGACUAGUGGUUUAAACUCCAACCUCAGAGCAAUAAAUCCCAUAAAAAUUC